ACAUCCAGGUCAAAUCUCGGAUGUAAUUAAAAUUAAAACGACACAGAGAAGAUUAGCAUGGCCCCUGCGCAAGGAUGAUACACACAAACCGAGAAAUGGUAAUUCGUCUU
rnacentral:snRNA from 1 species